rnacentral:rRNA from 1 species
GUGAACAACCAAGGGCGCGCGGUGGAUGCCUAGGCUCUCGGAGGCGAUGAAGGACGCGAUAAGCCGCGAUAGGCCACGGCGAGGUGCAAGUAACCCUUGACCCGUGGAUUUCCGAAUGGGGCAACCCGGCCGUCUAGAUGACGGUCAUGCAGUAAUGCAGGCGAACGCGGGGAACUGAAACAUCUCAUUACCCGCAGGAGAAGAAAACAACAUGUGAUUCCCCCAGUAGUGGCGAGCGAACGGGGAAGAGCCCAAACCGCUGCCGUUUCGGCGACAGCGGGGUCAUGGGACCGCGACAUUCGACGAUGGACGAAGUGCAAUUACCUGGAAAGGUAAGCCGUGGAGGGUGACAGCCCCGUGCACGACACCUCCAUCUAAGAUAGCGGAAUCCCGAGUAGGGCGGGACACGAGAAAUCCUGCCUGAAUUCGCCAGGACCGCCUGGCAAGGCUAAAUACUCCCGAGAGACCGAUAGUGAACCAGUACCGCGAGGGAAAGGUGAAAAGUACCCCGAGCAGGGGGGUGAAAUAGACCCUGAACCCGCGCGCCUACAAGCGGUCGGAGCCAUGAAAUAUGGUGACGGCGUGCCUUUUGCAUAAUGAGCCUACGAGUUAGUCGUCACCAGCGAGGUUAAGGGCUUCAGGCCCGUUAGCCGAAGUGAAAGCGAGCCUUAACAGGGCGUCGAGUUGGUGGCGCUAGACGCGAAACCUUGUGAUCUACCCACGAGCAGGUUGAAGUCGCGGUAACACGUGAUGGAGGACCGAACCGGUAAACGUUGAAAAGUUUUCGGAUGACUCGCGGGUAGGGGUGAAAGGCCAAUCAAACUGGGAAAUAGCUCGUACUCUCCGAAAUGCAUUUCGGUGCAGCCUGUGAUGUUCUGUUCCAGAGGUAGAGCUACUGGUUGGACGCGAGGGCUUCACCGCCUAUCAAAUCCGGAUAAACUCCGAAUGCUGGAACACGAAAUCAUGGAGUGAGCCCGCGGGUGCUAAGGUCCGCGGACGAGAGGGAAAGAACCCGGACCACCGGCUAAGGUCCCGGAUGGACAGUUAAGUUGAUCAAACGAGGUGGGAUCGCGGAGACAGCUAGGAUGUUGGCUUGGAAGCAGCCAUUCAUUUAAAGAGUGCGUAACAGCUCACUAGUCGAGCGAUCCCGCGUGGAUAAUACACGGGCAUCAAACUGUCAACCGAAGCCGUGGGGUUAGUUAAUGACUGACCGGUAGGAGAGCAUUCCUGCCAGCUUAGAAGGUCACCCGCGAGAGUGACUGGAGCGGCAUGAAAAGCAAAUGUAGGCAUAAGUAACGAUAAUGGGGGCGAGAACCCCCCACGCCGCAAGACCAAGGAUUCCCCGGCAAUGUCAAUCAGCCGGGGGUCAGCCGGCCUCUAAGGCUAACCCGAACGGGGACGCCGACGAGAAACGGGUUAACAUUCCCGUGCUUCUCGUCACCGUGACGCGGUGACGGGGUGAUGAAUGGACCGCGCGCUGACGGAAUAGCGCGUUGAAGGCCGUACCCUGUGACGGUGGUAGUCAAGCACGCCACCGGAGGCGAAAGUCGAUAGUACCUCGAGGCCUCGGCCGAGGGGAUAGCGUCCAGGCAAUUUACCCCCUAGAAAACCCGCUAAACUUCAAGUGACGAGGAACCGUACUGUAAACGGACACACGUGGUCGGGUAGAACAUACCAAGGCGCUCGAGUGAUUCAUGGUCAAGGAACUAGGCAAAAUAGUCCUGUAACUUCGGGAAAAAGGACGCUCUAGUGAUAGAGCCGCAGAGUAAUGGCCCAGGCGACUGUUUACCAAAAACACAUGGCUAUGCCAAAUCGAAAGAUGACGUAUAUGGCCUGACACCUGCCCGGUGCCGGAAGGUUAAGAGGAGAGCUCAUCCGCGAGGAGAAGGUUUGAAUUGAAGCCCCGGUAAACGGCGGCCGUAACUAUAACGGUCCUAAGGUAGCGAAAUUCCUUGUCGGGUAAGUUCCG